rnacentral:rRNA from 1 species
GACAGAGGGUGCAAACGUUGUUCGGAAUUACUGGGCGUAAAGCGCGUGUAGGCGGCUCUGCAAGUCGGAUGUGAAAUCCCACGGCUCAACCAUGGAAGUGCAUUCGAAACUGCAGGGCUAGAGUCCUGGAGAGGAAGGUGGAAUGCUUGGUGUAGAGGUGAAAUUCGUAGAUAUCAAGCGGAACACCGGUGGCGAAGGCGGCCUUCUGGACAGUGACUGACGCUGAGGAGCGAAAGCGUGGGGAGCGAACAGG